rnacentral:SRP_RNA from 10 species
ACAGGGCUAGGUGGCACCUGCUUAUGUCCCAGCAACUCGGGAGGCUGAGGCAGGAAAAUCGCUUGAGCCCAGGAGUUCUGGGCUUUAGUAAGCUAUGCCAAUCAGAGAUCUGCACUAAGUUUGGUAUCAAUACAGUGACCUCCAGGGAGCAAGGUUGCCUAAGGAGUGGUGAACUGGCCCAGGUCAGAAACAGAGCAGGUUAAAACUUCUGUGCUGAUCAGUAGUGGGAUCAUGACCAUGAAUAGCCACUGCACUUAAGCCUGGGCAAUAUAGCAAGACACUGUCU